rnacentral:rRNA from 1 species
GAACUGCAGGACACAUGAACACCGUUGAACGCAUAUUGCGCAUCGGACGUUUAAACCCGACCGAUGUACACAUUCUUGAGUGCCUA